GGCAGCAGUGGGGAAUAUUGCGCAAUGGGCGGAAGCCUGACGCAGCGACGCCGCGUGGGGGAUGACGGCCUUCGGGUUGUAAACCUCUUUCGGCCUUGACGAAGCUCUUCGGGGUGACGGUAGGGGUAGAAGAAGCACCGGCCAACUACGUGCCAGCAGCCGCGGUAAUACGUAGGGUGCGAGCGUUGUCCGGAAUUAUUGGGCGUAAAGAGCUCGUAGGCGGUCUGUCGCGUCGGUCGUGAAAACUUGGGGCUUAACCCUGAGCUUGCGGUCGAUACGGGCAUGACUGGAGUUCGGCAGGGGAGACUGGAAUUCCUGGUGUAGCGGUGAAAUGCGCAGAUAUCAGGAGGAACACCGGUGGCGAAGGCGGGUCUCUGGGCCGAUACUGACGCUGAGGAGCGAAAGCGUGGGGAGCGAACAGGAUUAGAUACCCUGGUAGUCCACGCCGUAAACGGUGGGCGCUAGGUGUGGGGGCCAUUCCACGGUCUCUGUGCCGCA
rnacentral:rRNA from 1 species